UGCGCAGGCGGAACUUUAAGUCAGUGGUGAAAUCUUGCCGCUUAACGGUAAAAUUGCCAUUGAUACUGAAGUUCUUGAAUAUGGUUGAGGUAGGCGGAAUGUGUUGUGUAGCGGUGAAAUGCAUAGAUAUGACACAGAACUCCGAUUGCGAAGGCAGCUUACUAAACCAUUAUUGACGCUGAGGCACGAAAGCGUGGGGAGCGAACAGGAUUAGAUACCCUGGUAGUCC
rnacentral:rRNA from 1 species